rnacentral:rRNA from 1 species
GACGAACGCUGGCGGCGUGCUUAACACAUGCAAGUCGAACGAUGAAGCCUAGCUUGCUAGGUGGAUUAGUGGCGAACGGGUGAGUAAUACGUGAGUGACCUACCUUUGACUCUGGGAUAAGCCUGGGAAACUGGGUCUAAUACCGGAUACGACCAAUCUCCGCAUGGGGUGUUGGUGGAAAGCGUUAUGGAGUGGUUUUAGAUGGGCUCACGGCCUAUCAGCUUGUUGGCGAGGUAAUGGCUUACCAAGGCGACGACGGGUAGCCGGCCUGAGAGGGUGACCGGCCACACUGGGACUGAGACACGGCCCAGACUCCUACGGGAGGCAGCAGUGGGGAAUAUUGCACAAUGGGCGCAAGCCUGAUGCAGCGACGCCGCGUGAGGGAUGACGGCCUUCGGGUUGUAAACCUCUGUUAGCAUCGAAGAAGCGAAAGUGACGGUAGGUGCAGAGAAAGCGCCGGCUAACUACGUGCCAGCAGCCGCGGUAAUACGUAGGGCGCGAGCGUUGUCCGGAAUUUAUGGGCGUAAAGAGCUUGUAGGCGGUUGGUCGCGUCUGCUGUGAAGGCUGGGGCUUAACCCUGGUUUUGCAGUGGGUACGGGCUAACUAGAGUGCAGUAGGGGAGACUGGAAUUCCUGGUGUAGCGGUGGAAUGCGCAGAUAUCAGGAGGAACACCGAUGGCGAAGGCAGGUCUCUGGGCUGUAACUGACGCUGAGAAGCGAAAGCAUGGGGAGCGAACAGGAUUAGAUACCCUGGUAGUCCAUGCCGUAAACGUUGGGCACUAGGUGUGGGGGACAUUCCACGUUUUCCGCGCCGUAGCUAACGCAUUAAGUGCCCCGCCUGGGGAGUACGGCCGCAAGGCUAAAACUCAAAGAAAUUGACGGGGGCCCGCACAAGCGGCGGAGCAUGCGGAUUAAUUCGAUGCAACGCGAAGAACCUUACCAAGGCUUGACAUAUACUGGACUGCGUCAGAGAUGGCGUUUCCCUUCGGGGCUGGUAUACAGGUGGUGCAUGGUUGUCGUCAGCUCGUGUCGUGAGAUGUUGGGUUAAGUCCCGCAACGAGCGCAACCCUCGUUCUAUGUUGCCAGCACGUGAUGGUGGGGACUCAUAGGAGACUGCCGGGGUUAACUCGGAGGAAGGUGGGGAUGACGUCAAAUCAUCAUGCCCCUUAUGUCUUGGGCUUCACGCAUGCUACAAUGGCCGGUACAGAGGGUUGCGAUACUGUGAGGUGGAGCUAAUCCCUAAAAGCCGGUCUCAGUUCGGAUUGGGGUCUGCAACUCGACCCCAUGAAGUCGGAGUCGCUAGUAAUCGCAGAUCAGCAACGCUGCGGUGAAUACGUUCCCGGGCCU